rnacentral:rRNA from 1 species
AGAGUUUGAUCCUGGCUCAGGAUGAACGCUGACAGAAUGCUUAACACAUGCAAGUCUUUGGCGAAGCUGUGCUUGCACAGCCUAGCCAAGGCGGACGGGUGAGUAACGCGUAAGGAACUUGCCCUGCAGUCAGGGAUAACAGACGGAAACGACUGAUAAGACCUGGUAAAGUCAGGCGGACUCAUGUCCAGCCUGAUGAAAAGAGAUGCUGCAGGAGAGCCUUGCGUCCUAUUAGCUUGUUGGUGGGGUAACGGCCCACCAAGGCGAUGAUAGGUAGCCGGCCUGAGAGGGUGGACGGCCACAAGGGGACUGAGAUACGGCCCUUACUCCUACGGGAGGCAGCAGUGGGGAAUAUUGGACAAUGGGGGCAACCCUGAUCCAGCAAUUCUGUGUGCACGAUGAAGGUUUUCGGAUUGUAAAGUGCUUUCAGCAGGGAAGAAAAAAAUGACGGUACCUGCAGAAGAAGCGACGGCUAAAUACGUGCCAGCAGCCGCGGUAAUACGUAUGUCGCAAGCGUUAUCCGGAAUUAUUGGGCAUAAAGGGCAUCUAGGCGGCCAGAUAAGUCUGGGGUGAAAACUUGCGGCUCAACCGCAAGCCUGCCCUGGAAACUAUGUGGCUAGAGUACUGGAGAGGUGGACGGAACUGCACGAGUAGAGGUGAAAUUCGUAGAUAUGUGCAGGAAUGCCGAUGAUGAAGAUAGUUCACUGGACGGUAACUGACGCUGAAGUGCGAAAGCUAGGGGAGCAAACAGGAUUAGAUACCCUGGUAGUCCUAGCUGUAAACGAUGAUUACUGGGUGUGGGCAUGAAGAGUGUCCGUGCCGAAGCUAAUGCGAUAAGUAAUCCGCCUGGGGAGUACGGCCGCAAGGCUGAAACUCAAAGGAAUUGACGGGGACCCG